GAGUUGUGGUGUAGGUCGCAGACCCUGUUCCGAUCCUGAAUUGCUGUGGCUGUGGCGUAGGCAGGCAGCUGCAGAUCUGUUUGGACCCCUAGCCUGGGAACCUGCCUGGGCUGUGGGUGCGGGCCUAAAAAUGACAAAAGACAAAAAAAAGUUUCUAUUUUGCUGAUGAGAAUGUAAAGUUCAUUUGAAAAUAGCAAAAGGGCAGUUCUUCACUGUGAAACAAGCCCUCUAAAAAACACUUUUAAUGUUACUUAUUAUAAGUUCUCUGUGAUGGUGGUGGUGUUAUCCCAGGUUUUUUAAAGAUAAAGCUGUAGUUUAUAGAUGUAGCAUAUACAUGAUUUCUAUUGCAUUGCAUGCCUGUCUCAGACUUAGAAAAAACAUCUUACAAGCAAGUUGUCUCAUUCAUCAUCCAAAAUGAGAUUCUAUUUGAACCGAUUUCUAGUAUGAUUAUUAUGGUUAUAUUUUUUAAGUGAAUUUAAAAUUAUCAAUCAUCUUCUUAAUCUGAUGAUGAUUAGAUUAAGAAUCAAACCUCCUUAUGACAGGUUUUUCUUUUUUUUUUUUUUUUUUUUUUUGGUCUUUUGUUCUUUUUUAGGGCUGCACCCGAGGCAUUUUGAGGUUCCCAGGCUAGGGGUCUAAUCAGAGCUACAGCAGCCGGCCUAUGCCACAGGUACAGCAAUGCCACAUCUGAGCCGCAUCUGCAACCUACACCACAGCUCACGGCAAUGGCGGUUCCUUAACCCACUGAGUGAGGCCAGGGAUCUAACCCGCAACCUCAUAGUUCCUCGUCGGAUUCGUUUCCGCUGCACCGCAAUGGGAACUCCAUUAUGACAGUUUUUAAUCUUAGAAUGUUCAUACCUCAUCAUGUAUCUAAAAUAGUGAUCAAAUAACCAAUAUUAUUUUUAUGAGCUGCUUGCUUUAGUAAAGAGGAAGCCUGAGAGUAAUUUAAGUAAUUUUAAUUCCUGUGAGAUAGAUAAAGUACGUAUAUGUUUAUCUUUGUAUAUGUGUAUCAGAUAUACUUUUAAUUAGUGUAUGUUGCAUAUGUAGAAAACUGUUGAUUGGCCCUUCUUCCUGAGUCUUUUCUUUGUCAACGAAAAGUUAAUUUGGUUUCAUUUCAAAUUAUAAUCAAUUAUACUUAUAUCUAUGGUGAUUAUUGCUCGGAUUCAUGUAGAAUUUUUAUUUUUCAUUUACACUUCAAUUUUUAUGAUCUCAUUUUAGAUGUUACUCCCAUUGGUUAUAUGUUUAGGUGGAUAGUUCUUGAAUUGUUAGUAUUGAGUAUACCAAAUAGUAGUAGAAUUCAAGCUGUUUAUGGCAAUGAUCUUAGUUCUCAUCAUCAAAUCAUUGUUUGCAAAUGUCUGUCAGAGCUAUGAGAAUUUUUUCAUUUUGUCUUUUUAUCUUAAUGAUAAAAAGCAAGCUCCAGGAAGUUCCUCUUGUGGCUCAGUGGUAAUGAAUCUGACUAGUAUCCAUAAGGAUAUGGGUUUGAUCUCUGACCUUGCUCAGGGGGUUAAGAAUCUGGUGUUGCUGUGAGCUGUGGUGUAGGUCGCAGAUUCUGUUUGGAUCUUGCAGGCAUUGCUGUGGCUAUGGCAAGGCCGGCAGCUGUAGCUCCAAUUCAACCCCUAGCCAGGGAACAUCCAUAUAUCGUGGCCCCCCCCAAAAAGCCAAAAAUUAAAAAAAAAAAGGUAAGUUCCAUAGAUAAGAACUAAUUUCUGGUAUGAAUUCCCUACUGGAAUGACAUUUCAGAGAACUGGACUUUGUUGCUCAAACAGGGAUCAAAUACCCCGUUGUUUUUCUGGAAGUCAUUUCAAAUAAACAUCCAUUGAAUGGCUCUGUAUUGGGCACAGAGAGAGGCUCUUGAAGUACGAUAAUGAGUGAUAUAUAUUUAUUUUUUUUGUUCUUGUUUUGGAUUUUCUUUUAUUUUUUAAAUUUUAUUGGCAUAUAGUUGCUUUACAGUGAUGUGUUAGUUUUAGGUGUACAGCAAAUUGAAUUCAGUUAUACAUAUACAUAUACCCAUUCUUUCUCAGAUUCUUUUCCCAUAUAGGUUAUUACAGGCUAUUGUGUAGAUUUCCCUGUGCUCUACAGUAGGUCCUUGUUACUUAUCUAUUUUGUAUAUAAUAGUAUGAAUGAAUAUGUUAAUCCCAACUUCUUAUUUUAUCCCUCCCCCUCAACUCUUCCCCUUUGGUAACCAAAAAUUUGAUUUUGGAAUCCUUGAAAUGUUUCCUUUUUUCUUUUUUUUUGCUUUUUAGGGCCACACCCACAGCAUAUGGAGGUCCUAGGCUCGGGGUCAAAUCGGAGCUGCUGGCCUACUCCACAGCCACAGAAACACUGGACCCAAGCCGCAUCGGCGAACUACACAAGAGCUUACAGCAAUGCCAGAUCCUUAACCCACUGAGCGAGGCCAGGAAUUGAGCCUACAAUCUCAUGGUUCCUAGUCAGAUUCAUUUCCACUUUUUUUUCUUUUUUUUCUUAUAAUGAUUUUUAUUUUUUCCAUUAUAGCUGAUUUUCAGUGUUCUGUCAAUUUUCUACUAUAACAGCAAGGUGACUCAGUUACACAUUCAUGUAUACAUUCUCUUUUCUCAUGUUCUUAUGCUCCAUCAUAAGUGACUAGAUAUAGUUCCCAGUGUUAUACAGCAGGGUCUCAUUGCUUAUCCAUUUCAAAGGCAACAGUUUGCGUCUAUUAACUCCAAAUUCCCAGUCUAUCGCAAUCCCUCCCACCACCCUUGGCAACCACAAGUCUAUUCUCCAUGUCCAUGAUUUUCUUUUCUGUGAAAGUUCAUUUGUGUCAUGUAUUAGAUUCCAGAUAUAAAGGGUAUCAUGUGGUAUUUAUCUUUCUCUUUCUGAUUUACUUCACUCGGUAUGAGAGUCUCUAGUUCCAACCAUGUUGCUGCAAAUGGCAUUAUUUUGUUCUUUUUUUGGCUGAGUACUAUUGCAUUGUGUAUAUAUACCACAUCUUCCUAAUCCAAUCAUCUGUCGAUGGACAUUUAAGUUGUUUCCAUGUCUUGGCUAUUGUGAAUAGUGCUGCAAUGAACCUGUGGGUUCAUGUUUCUAACCCACAGUUUACUGUUCUUCCAACCACACCAUGCUGCCUCCCAUUUCAACACAUUAUUAAAACUUUUUCCAAGGCCCUUAUGUGCAUUUGAAGAUUGUUACCAUGCCUGAUCCUCACCUCUCCAAACACUUUUCCUCUUAUAAUAAUUUAUUCAUCCAUUCUUCAUGUGUUGUGUUUUUUAGUUUCUUUACUAUCUUUGUGAUUCUCCUCUGAGUUGUCAGCAUUUAAUUGAUAUUUUUAUUCAAGUAUCUCAUUUAGAUGUUCAUGUACUUGGUCUGCAAAGUAUCUGUUAGAUGAAACCAUCAGCUUUAUUUUACUACCCAAUUAAUAUUUAUGAUAUAGUAGGAAAUACACUCUAAUCGUGAAUAUGCUAUUUUCUUAUUAACUUACUUUUUUAAAACUUACAUUUUAAUUACCUCAUUUUAAAAUUACAUCAGGGUAUCCUUUUACAACUUUAAGUUUAGUUUUUAUUUAUUUAGGAAUAUUUUUAUGGAACAAAAAACUCUUAAUGUCUAAAAAUUCAGGUCAAGUGACAGUUCAUCAUCAUUCUCAGAUGUAAUCACAAUGGCUAUUCUAGAGGGAGUUUGAACAAAUGCAGCAAUGACAUAUUUUUGUCAUAUUUUUCUGAAUUCUAUUUUUUUCUUUUGGUGGAAUGUAUCAAUUUGCAGAACAUGAAACUGAAUAUGUAUAUGAAGUUGAAAAUAAAUGUUUAAUGACUCAGACUUGUACUCCUGGAUAUAGAUUUAAUUAAGUUCUCAUAGGAACAGAUGGGUAGGAUGAUGACAGAAUUAGAUAACUGCCAAUUAAGGGAGAAAUGUUUACAUGGACUUUAAAAAGCAACAAGAAUUAAGGAUGUCUGAAUCUAAGGUAUUUUGCAUGUAUGUCCUUUGAUAAGUCUACUUAGGAUUCGUUUUCUUCAUCAAUAGAGUGAAGAGGCUCAUCCACAUAUGCAGGAAUCAUUACAUCAAAACUUCUGUGCACUUCGAACUGGGGGAUACCAUUCCACCCCUAACCUUUUCUUCCUCUUCCUCUUCUGCUCUCCUGUGGCCUGAAAUAACUUCUCCCACCCCAUUUUUAGUUCCUCUUGGUGCUAGUCUGACUCAGGCUGAGGCAAUUUCUAGCUCAUCCUGCCUGCCCAAAUUACAAAAGCUUCUAAUUAAAUCAUAUUGGAAUAGUUUGUAGAGUUUUCUUUUCAUGCAGAACCAGUGUCCCAUCACAUCUAAACACUCUCCCAUUUAGCAACUCUCAUCAGCUUUUAAAAUGUUAAAUGAUAGAUCCUUAUACUGCAGGAGUGAGAUGACAGGUGUAUCCAUGCUGUACAAUCAGCAUAUGUACUAAUUAACUUUUUUAUUGUAGAUCCUCUUCAGAACCAUCCCUCAAAUUUUCAUGAAACAAACUGUAGGGGCCAGCAAGUAACAUAUGCCAGUGUGGCAGGUUGACUGCAAAGUAGCACAUAAAUUAUGUCUGAGAGGGAGAGUUGCUUUUGGGUUUAGCCAGUUGUCAUUUCAAUGGAUCCAUCCAACAUUGCCAGAUUUCCCAGUUUUUCAAAGAUUUUUUGUGAAAUAUUCUGAUUUUUACAUAUUAGCAACUAAUGUGGAUUUCUACAAAGCACACUGGGGUCAAAGCAAAUCCUCCUGUAAAACUGACUGCCAAUCUGCAACCGCUGUUCUAAAGAGAAUAGUUUGACCUGGUUCCUGGACUUCCAUGUUGCCCCCAGUGCUACCACUGCCAUUUUUACCCUGGCUCUGAAAACAUUUGAGGGGUCAGGGGGCUAUUAAAGAGGAAGAAGAACAAAAGGAAGGGAGGACUUAUUUUGUUAAGUCAUAUUACCUCAGGCCAUACUUUUUGAAGAGGAAAAUUGUUAAGCAAACAAAAGUCCAUUUUCCUCUGAGAAACACUUUUUUUUUUUCUGUUAAGUUUAGGUCUAAAUGAUAUCAGCUCAAUUUGGUUUCAAGAAUUGACCUUACUUCUCUGUUGAAAUUGACUAUGGCACAUCUUUGAGAUAAAAAUAAUUUAGCCCUUUUUGUCUUGUCUCUGUUGCUUCCCAAAAUUAUGAGAGUUCUGGAUAUUGGCAUCUUCCACACAUGCAGCAAUGUGGAAGCUCAUGAUUUUAUAAACGAAUAUACUUGAAACGUUCCUUUCAAGGUCAGAGUACUUGAUUUUCUCUGAAUAAACUUAGUUCCCAAGCUUAUAACUCUAAAGUCAAUAUCGGUGGCCAAUUCCUAUGUCAGUCAAGAGAAAUGUUCCCAUACCUUUUUUGUGGAAAAAUAGAAGGAAACAUAGGGGGAAAUUGGCAUUUGUAAGCAAGACCUAAUGCAAUUUCUGAGGUGGGGGGUGAAGAAUAUUCAAAUGACCCAAUGAAAGUGUCUCAUUAAUUAUGUCUUCAUCUAAUGAAAUUUUAAAAAAUGUUUAAUUUAGACCUUUUUGAAUACUUAGGUGCGUUUUUAACCCAAGUAGACUCCCCCAAGCCAGGUCCCCCCACUGGAUUUUUUAAAAUGCAAAUCACAGGCUUUUAAAUGCUGUGUGUGGAUGUAUGUGUGUGCUCAUUUAGUUAUAUGGAAUCACAGGCAUAGAUUAUUCCUAUAAUGCACCCUUUGGGAACAAGUUUUUAAAGUGACUCUUGGGGUCUCAUUUACAGGGAAGUAAGAGCUUUAUGGUAUUUGUGAUCAAUUUCAGUAAUGAAAAUGCCUUUGCUAGAUUGUUGGGGAAAGUAUCUAUUUGUGCCUUCAUGUUUUUACUCAGUAGUUGAAGUGUUUAUUCGUAUGUAUGACGAAGUGUAGACUUGAAAAUGAUCAAGUAUAUCUAUCUGAAGAUUGAAUAAGAUAAUUAAUGUUUUUAUUUUAAUGCUUAUAAUUCUUUAAAUUAUAUUUGCCUCCUAAUUUGAGUUCAUAUCCAAUUCACUGUUUCCCAAGCUGGGAAUGUUCGUUGGAUUCUUACUUUGCCUGGCGACACUGAUAAGUGAUUUCCAUGUUUUAAGUUAUUUAAUCCUUCUAACUAUCUUUUGAGACAUAGUCUAUUGUCUGGAUUUUGCUAAUGAGUGAACUGGGCUCGAUGAAUUUGAUGUUUCUCAGCCAGAAAAUGGCAGAACCCUUGUUUGAAUAGAUUGAUAUCAGAACUAAUGUCUUUUCAUCAGACCCCAAUGCCAAAAGGCCUAUUCAGAGUUGUACUGUCAGUGAAAGUGAAGUAUUUCCAGUUUAUUAGCUCACAACUUUAGACUCCAUACUCAUAAUACUCUAAUACCAUAAUUUAAUAUAAUAUUAUAUUGAUUAUAUUUAUCUAUAACCAAAAUCCUGCUUUAUGAACUUGUCACCAAACCUAAUUUAUAGAUUUGAGUUGCCAUCGUGACUCAGUGGGUUAUAACCUGACUAGCAUCCAUGAGGACAUGGAUUUGAUCACUAUCCUCAUUCAGCGGGUUAAAAUACAUGGCAUUCUGUGAGCUUUGGUGUAGGUUUCAGAUGCUGCUCAAAUCUUGCUUUGCUGUGGCUGUGGCAUGGUCUGGCAACUGCGGCUUUGAUUUGACCCACAGCCUGGAAAGUUCAUAUGCUGCAGGUGCAGCCCUUAAAAGAAAAGGAAAAAAAAAAAAAAAA
rnacentral:lncRNA from 1 species